UAAUAGGAGUAACGCCGGCUUCGUAUAACCCCGGUAAUUGGUCCGGGGGUCUCUACCAGUUGACCGGAAUCACCUGACUACGAAGGAAACCCUUCGUAUG
rnacentral:ncRNA from 2 species